UAUGUGAUCGUCUCUCGCAUAUCAAUAAGCGGAGGAAAAGAAACUAACAAGGAUUCCCCUAGUAACGGCGAGUGAAGCGGGAAGAGCUCAAAUUUGAAAUCUUACAGGGUUUCCCUUUCACGAAUUGUAGUUUAAAGAAGUGUUUUCUGUUGAGGUUUUGGUAAAAGUUCUUUGGAAUAGGACAUCAUAGAGGGUGAGAAUCCCGUAUUUGACCUUUACUUUCAACUUUGUGAUACACUUUCAAAGAGUCGGAUUGUUUGGGAAUGCAGUCCAAAAUGGGUGGUAAAUUUCAUCUAAAGCUAAAUAUUGGCGAGAGACCGAUAGCGAACAAGUACCGUGAGGGAAAGAUGAAAAGAACUUUGAAAAGAGAGUUAAACAGUACGUGAAAUUGUCAAAAGGGAAGCGUUUGACACCAGUGUUGUUUUUCUGAAAAUCAAUUAAAGAACUGUUUAUGCUAAGCUGUUUAGACUUUAUCAGCUAUCUGUUUAGUUUUGAGCUUUUCUUUAAUGCACUUUUCAGUUAACAAGUCAACAUCAAUUUCUUUUGCUGUAAAAAAGCUUGAGGAAGGUGGCUUGAGAUUCGUCUUAAGUGUUUAUAGCCUCUUGCCUAUGCAGUCGGAGAGAUUGAGGUCUGCAGCGUAGAUCCUUCGGGGCUAAAUGCAUUUGUGCUAAGUUAUAGCAUUUUAUAGACAACUUGUUGACUAUGAUUUGUCUUGUAGCUUACUCGCUUAUGUUAUUUUACCUACGCUUAGGAUGUUGAACGCAUGUCUCUCUCU
rnacentral:rRNA from 1 species